UUGAUGAUAAACCGCGGGAGCAGUUCAGUCUGAUUCUCGCUAGUCCUGGAGGAGCGUUCAUUUUGGCAAGGAAAUGUGCUGAUUUUGCAAGGACGUGGAGAAGAAAGAGUUCAAGGAGUCAGAGGUCAGUGGGAAUGACCUCACCCUCAUAGACCUGGGUGACCCCAUCAAUGACGGUGAUGUUAUGAAGGAAGAAGAUAGAUCUGAUAAAGAUCACAGAGAGGUUGAGAGACAGGCCAAGUUGGAAGAGGCUGUUCUAGAGACAGAUAUCCCAACUCUGUCACUAGAGGCUGAUGGAGAGAUUGAGAUGCAGGAGGCUGAUCUGAAGACAGAUGGCACAUCUCAGUCACAGAAGGUUGAAGGAGAGAGUGAGUUGGACGAUGCUGUUGUCAUCCCAUCUCAGUCACAGGAGGAGGCCAAAGAAGAGAGUGAGUUGAAUCAGGUUGAUCUGAAGAUAUCCACAUCAACUCUGACACUGGAGGUCGAAGGAGAGAGUGAGUUGAGUCAGGUUGAUCUGAAGACAUCCACAUCAACUCUGACACUGGAGGUCGAAGGAGAGAGUGUGAUGCAGGAGAGUGAUGAUGUAGAAACAGCCGGGCCAUCUCAAUCCCAGGAGACUGAACGAGUGGCAAAGGCUGCAGUGGUGACCUUCACUACCAUGACCCGCAAGGCUGCAGCCUCCCAGACCAGCCUCACCCUCAGCAGGGGAAAGAGAAGCUACCCAGACCUACACACCUUUGUGCAGGACAUGAAGGAUGGCCAUUGGAAUCUGCUGAGUGAGAAUAUGCGUGCCGGGAUGAGCAGAGAUGAGUUUAGUGCUAGGUGCAUGGAUAUUACAAAUUGGGUGAUGGAGUCUACAUCCACUGUGGUCGUUCCCGCCCUUGACCUCACCAUGCAGAUCAGGCACUCUGAUUCGUCAAGCUCUUCUGGAUCAAGAAGUAAUGAGGCUAGAGAAGUGACCUCUCUUGGCCGCAGCGUCAGAUUCAGCUUUCGUGGUGGACCCAGUAGACGCACCAGUUCAAGAACUACUUGCAGCACACAAACUCCCACGCCUUUCCCCUCCUCGCACAGGUACCUACCCCUAUCCCCUCCUCUCACAGGUACUUUCCCCUCCUCUUGUAGGUCUUUCUAAAAACAUUAUUCCCAUGUCCCUUGUUAUAAGUACAAAUAUCCAUUCCAGAUCCACAUAGAGAGAAAUACUACUUAGGUACUUCCAAAUUCUUGGAUCAUAUUUUGUAUUUUGUUAUCAUGUACUAUUCAUUUCUGUUGUGCGUUCUGCAGUUCCAUGACCUCUUUGCUGAGUGAUGACGAAGAGCGAUAUGUCUCCUCACCUGAGGGUGGUGAUAGAGAGAUGAGACACAGACCCCACUCGGCACCACUGAGUUCUAUGUUUGGAAUCUCUGAGGAUUCUGUCUUCAACAUGGUCCAGAGAGGCCAGUCGCAGAGUGACAUCGUACUGUCGUCCAGUUGGAGUAGACGGGAGAAAUACAGACCUGUCAAAAUACCAACGGACACCAGGUUUAUGAUGGGUAUUGUAGAGUUGGUAAUGAACCUUCUCAACUCCAGAUUGGCUGAGCUAAUGCGAAGUUUCAGUCAGGGAACUCUAGGUCCGCUGUCUGGUAGUAUCUCAGCAAGUCAGCAGUUUGCCCAAGAAAUGCUAAGCAUGGUGUCUGCUAAGAUGUAUUCCCAUGCCAUAGAGCAUAUUGCGCACGGCCACAAGUCUCCCCUUGAGUUAGAGAGGGAGCUUGAGGCCAUAUUGGGUCCUCUGGCUGGACAGGUUAUAGUCAUCAUCAUAGAUAGCAUCUUUAAGGCUAAAGCCAACGGAGGAAACAAGGGACGAGCGACCAGCCCCUUGACCUAUUUUCUCACUGCCAUUUCGGCAGAAAUACAAAGCCUAGUUGUUCAGAGAUCGGCUAGCAGACCGUCCACCAGACUGUCCAACAACGACCCACUGCUGAACAUUUCCAAGUCAAAGGUCUUAAGAUCAGUUCUGCUCAAAAUGGCAGAACUCUUUGGCCAAGGUCCAAGUGAAACCUGUCUAGUUCCACUAGUCCAGAGUCAGUCCGACAACUCUGUUUGCGACUGGACUCUGAAUGCAGGCACCGUUCAUCCAAGUCAAUUUCUGUCCCACAACAGAAUGACAGAAGUGUCAUCCGAUGUUGUGGAUCUUGUACUUGAGGUUUUUGGGAUAACAGGAUUUUUGGAUAGCAGGAGCCCGUCAAGGCCACAGAGUGCCUGCUCCUACAACUCAGCUAGUGGAGCAAUAGAUAUGAGAGCUCUUGCUGGGGACUUGGUCAGACAGGUGUCUGUCAAACUCAGACCCUUUGUCUCUGAGAGUCAACUCUCCACCAUAUCCAUGACAGAUCUGUCAUCAUCUAUUUCUGACUCCACCUUGAAGCAGUUGUGUUGUAGCUCUGCUGUUGCUGCAGCAACUGUCUGUCAAGCAAUCAAAAUGGAGCUCGAGAACCAGAGACCUACAAACCUGUCAGCCAGAGACCUACUAUCGUCUCUGGUAGAGAGCAUUGAGGACAUGGAUAUUUCUGACAUCCUCCAGGGCCCAUCGGCCAUUUUGGAGGAGGCUGCUAUGAUUAAGCACCCAGAGAUGUCCACCUCCACAAUAUACAGGUCUCUGCUUCUCGACUCAUCUCUCGCCUCCUCUAACAUGGUCACUGAGAGCAUUAUCUUCAACAGCCCACGCCCAUCAGAGGAGAAUGUGAAUAUUCAGAAUGUGCUCCCUGUUGAUAAAGUUGACAUCCUCCAUGGUCAACCAGUGGAGGGGUAUAUCGUCAAAGCUGAGCAAUGCAUCACUCAGGUCAUUCAGGAUGCAGCUGUGACAUAUACUGGCGUGCUGGAUAAAACCGACACUUGUGGGAAACUGUCGGAAGUUCUGUCUGUCUGCGUUUCCGCAGAGAAUAUUGAGGAUGCAUCCUCUGAUCUAUUUGGUGGAAUUAUUUCCGACCUGCAUGAGGUAUCUGAGGUCAAUAAGACCUCCAUGCGUACGAAAUCAGGUCGCAAAAUGUUCUGGAUGGAAGUGAGUUCAGGUUCCCAGAAGAUUUAUACCAAAACCCUGGACAAACUGAGGAAGCUUUUCACCUCUCACCUUCUCACUGAGGGAAAAAAUACUCCUGUGCAAAUUGAGUUCUAUGACACUGGACUACUUGUAACUGAGAGCACUGUGGAGGUAUCUCCUGUACAGAAGACAGACAGUAAUACCUCUUCAAUGUCUUCAGCCCACCAGCUCACCCUCGACACCUGCACUAAAGGGGUCAUCAAACAGGUGAUCUCGGUGCUGAGGGUGGAGACUUCAAAGGAAGUCAAAUGCGAGAGCAUGUCAAAUGCAUCCUUCGACUUCAACCAGAAGUUGGACUCUAUAAUUUCGAAAUUGGAGAGCCUCACCAUUUCGAGUGAUGUGACGUCAGCCAAGAUUGCCACGCUCACCCGAUCUCGUAGUGUAGCCAGCAGAACCUCUAACAUUUCCAUCCAGAGCUUUCACAGUGCUGAGUUCCGAGCUACGGCCAAACAGAUUGUGCGUGAGGCCAUUCUCAGAGCUGCUAGCGAAGCCAACUGUUCUUUGCCACAGAGCAUGCCUAGCAGCACCUUCUCACACCAUGUGGUUUCCACAACUGAAGAUAUAGUGAAUAUGAUCAUGCAAGACCUUGAAAGUCUAUCCCAGUACACAGUGGAGGACGCAGACUCCUUCCCACUAGGAGAGAAAAAGCUGCAGUCCCAGCUCAAUCCCAGAGUUGUCUUUGACACCUUAUUGGAUGCUGCUCAAACCAUGUACCACAGAGUAAAGGAUAGACUGAACGUCUUUUUGUCUUUUCCACCCGUGUCAGUCACCACAGCCAAAGAUGUGCUGGACUCCACCCCUGUGGAGACACUCAGAUGCUCAAAGUCCCCUGACACUGCUCUUGUUAAGGACAGGAGCCGCCCUCCGUCUGUGAGAAGUGAGAAGCCAUUUUCAAAAGUCAGUUUGACUAAAAGGUCUAAAGCCCUUGUGUCUUCGAGUGGCUCCUCCACAGACCACCAUGUAAUUGGCACAUGCAGUGAGGAUGUCACUCUGCCUACCAGGAGUAUGUCAGUUGUGAGCGACACCAGUUUGAAGAGAACCUCUCCUCUCCAUGGUAGUGGAUUGAGUGCAAGUUGUGAACCUCUUGUGGCUCUACAAGACGGAACAGUGGCAGUCAGCCAAGAAGGCUUUAGCAAAACUGCAAAGAAGACUCUCAGCUUGAUCCUAAAUGUGAUCAAGUGCAGAUUGGCCAACUCUGAGAGUUCAUCUGUUGGGCAGAAUGCAAGUGAGGAGUGUCUGAUAGCCACUAACAUGUUAGACUCUCUACUGGAGAGCCUUGACCUGUUGCCUGACAUGAGUGCUGCCAAUGAGAUCACAAGGACAGAAUGCCAUACCUCUAACGCAAUGGACAAGACAGGUUCACAGUCAGCGCUUGUGAAUCAACAAGAAAUAAACAUAUCUGACACCAGUAUCAUAGUGAAAACUAUAAUGGACACAUUGAAGACAGACGACCCAGAGAUGACUUCAGCAGAAGAAAAUCUGGAUAGGCUCCUGUCAAUUGAAGCCCUUCAAGAUGCGUCUGGCAACCUGAUCGCAAAGGUCCAUGGUCUCAUUCAGGAGAUAACCAUAAGCCGCCAGCUUCAAUCCACGACUGGCCACAGAAGCCUCUCUCAACCAGCGCUGCCAAAGCCAGCACUGAGGAAGCUGUCAAAGGACGAUGCGUCAGAGCUCGUUUACAGCUUUGCCCAGACUUCUGUUAGCAGACUCCUGGGACAGUGUUUGGGUAGGCCUAUGCCACCCACCGCUGACAGGGUUUUGGAUCAGGUCAUCAAGUUGAUGACAGACAUGGUGAUGGACAGCCUGACUGAUCUGUCCAAGUCUGCAAUGGAGGAUGGUAAGUGAAAGUACCUCUUCAUCUGCAUAGGACUUCAUUGUAACAUGAUGCUCACUACAUUGCAUUUUAUGAUGUGAACUUUGCUGUUUGCGUCCAAAAUGGCACCUUCUUCCAUAUUUAGUGCACUGCUUUUGACCAGAGCCAGACCCUAUGGGCCCUGUUCAAAAGUUGUGCACUAUAAAUGGAAGAGAAUGCCUUUUGGGACACAGUGACUGAUUUCCAUUGUUGCGUCCUCUUCUCCCAGUUAUUGUACCCAGGUCGGUCACACCAGCUGGCUCUUCUUACUUAGACACCAGCAAUGCCGCAAGUGACAUCACUCAUGGUGUUGUGGCUGACCUUAAUGCUACUGAGGAAUUCCCCGCCAGUGGCCUUAGCCCGGCUAAUGUAAAGGCUGACGGCAUGGCCCACCUUCCCUCUGCCAGGGGGGAAGAGACUAAGAAGAACAGGAAGUGGCAUUUCCUACCCAAAAUUGUCAAGAUUCCAAAGAUCAGGAUUAAGCUAUUCAAGACAAAAGGGGAACCGAAGAGCCACCCUGAACAGGAUUCUCUGCCUACCAAACGUCUCAGAGAGACUCGUAUUUCACAGGAUGCUGAGUGUGAGGUUCCAUCCACUUCCCCACCUAAGGAGGACCUGACAACCACACUGGCCCCUGCUCCCCAGGAGUCCCAGUCCCGUAAACGCCCUCUCAUAGUCAGGGUGUUACGAGCUAUCUCCAGAGCCGUCUCCAAACCAUUCAGAGAAGCUUUUGGGAAGAAGAAUUAGCCAAAUGCCGGAUUUUAUUACUAUUUUAAUCAGAGCCUUUAUUUAAUAAAACAUUGA